rnacentral:lncRNA from 1 species
GUCCUGGAUAACAGAGCAACAUGUAUCGGCCCGCUCUGUGCGAAUAAGCUGAAUAAGCAGGAUUUCCAACACAGAGAGCAGGAAGGCCCUUCCAACAACACACACACUGCAGGAAAUCAAGAAUGAAAAACAGAAGUUAUCCAUGGGAGAAAACAAAACAGCACGCCGUGUCAGGGGGACUCAAACCUUGGACUCCUCAGUGAAAAUUGGCUGCAUUGCAUGUACCACCACUCUCCCCAGUAUACGUCUUUUGCGGCUGUAUUUGUCCCAUGUUCAGAUGACUGGUGUGACAACAUGAUGAUUAUAUGUUCCCUUAAUGUAAAUGUAACAUAAUGUGGUUUGUUGGGCAAUAAUCACCAAUGUUCCCUUAGCUAACUAUGUGUUGUAUCUGGUGCAUGAAUUGUCAAGCAAAUAUAUGAAGCAAAUAGAUGGAUAUGUUGACUAAUUGUAAGGUUAACAGUACAACGAAAAAGCUUGUGAUUGCUGUGUUAUUUAGUUUAAAUAUUGUAAUUUCUGAAGUUAUGUGUAAGGUGAUUUUACACUGGAUGGCAUUGUGUUGUGAGCUGUUUUUAUCUCCCAAUCCCCACUCCACAAAAUCCAUAAUUUGUAAUAUUAUUAAAUGGGUGUAGAAAACAAAAGAUGGAGAGAUUGACUGCAGAUGGGGCAGCCUUGGUUUGUGCAUGCCAAGGCUUUGUUACACAUCAUAACUCCGCUGGCACACAUUUAGAUUCACACUACACGUCCAGAUACACAAUGUACACACUCAAUCACAUUAUUAAUCAGCCACUCAACUCUAUCCUUUUACCCAUUUGCAGCCCUCUACCCCUCCUAGCACUUUGCCCCAAGACUCAUCGCCAAGGUAACCGCCAGCACUCAGCUCCUCCCAGACAUCUAGGCAAGGCAUGGGAGGCAACUGCUUGGAGUCAGUUUGGGGACCCUGCGGGCGGCUCCUCUGCUGCAGCUGGCUGACUUCUGCUGCACUUCUGAGUCAUAGCUUUAACAAGUCCUGCCACACACUCCCACACUGUGAUCCACAUUGGCGGAUCGGUGGUGGGCCGAUCUCCUGCAGGCUUCUACUGUACUAACAGUCAACAACAUGCUCGUCAAGCUUUUUUGUUAGUAAAAUAUUUAGUAUUCAUGCUAAGCAUAUUUUAAAGCAGAAGACAUAUUAUUGAUUCCCUGUAGUCCAUCCUGAAGUGGACUUCAGCAGUUCUUUAAUUUUUCCUCUUUCUCUGUUUUCCCGGCCUAAAUAAGAGACUUUAGGAACUUCCUUAUUGGGGUCUUCACCCCCCCCCCCCCCCGCCCCCCCAUUUUAGUGCAGACAGUGACAAAAAUGUUUGUAUUGUUAACCCUUUAAAAAAACAACAGCCCUGUUUGCUGUACCAUUAGACUACUUAGAAUUAGGUUGCAGACACCAUGUACUCUGUUGUAGAGCUCCCUCUGGCGA